rnacentral:lncRNA from 1 species
GAGCAUAUUUUACUGUGUCAGUACAAAAUGUUCAGUCAAGUUAUUAUAUUGUUUCCUUCAUAAAGUACAAUAUGAUUAGGUGGCAAAUGGAAGUGAAUCCAAUCACAGUUCAACUAGUUCAACUUCAUUAUCCUCAUUGCAAGGGGAGGAAAAAUUGUCACAAGUACUAAUCCUGAAGAACACCUUAUAACAAAGUUAGAAAAUCACAGAAGAAUCCACUUUAUCCUCUGAAGAGUGUGCUCCGGUAGAUUCCUAACCUGUCAGCUGGCAGAGAUUCUCCCUCAUGCCGGUAAGUUGUUUAACUGCAUUGGCUGCACAUUUAUAAAGGCAUGUUAACAAUUUUCUUCUCAUUUUUCAGUCUCAAAUAUAUAAAUAUUAUUAGACAUUUUCUAAGACACAAACAAAAUUUAUCU